rnacentral:rRNA from 1 species
UACGGAGGGAGCUAGCGUUGUUCGGAUAUACUGGGCGUAAAGCGCACGUAGGCGGCGCAGCAAGUCAGGGGUGAAAUCCCGGAGCUCAACUCCGGAACUGCCUUUGAAACUGCAGUGCUAGAAUCCUGGAGAGGCGAGUGGAAUUCCGAGUGUAGAGGUGAAAUUCGUAGAUAUUCGGAAGAACACCAGUGGCGAAGGCGACUCGCUGGACAGGUAUUGACGCUGAAGUGCGAAAGCGUGGGGAGCAAACAGG